UACGGGGGGGGCAAGCGUUUGUUCGGAAUUACUGGGCGUAAAGGGCUCGUAGGCGGCCAACUAAGUCGGAUGUGAAAUCCCCAGGCUUAACCUGGGAACUGCAUCCGAUACUGGAUGGCUUGAAUCCGGGAGAGGGAUGCGGAAUUCCAGGUGUAGCGGUGAAAUGCGUAGAUAUCAGGAGGAACACCGGUGGCGAAGGCGGAUCUCU
rnacentral:rRNA from 1 species